GCCUUCAUGGUGUAACGGUAGCACACUCGUCCUGUAUUCAAGAGGUCCAAGUUCAAAUCCCGUUGAGGGCA
rnacentral:tRNA from 1 species